rnacentral:rRNA from 1 species
CGUCCGAGUUGUAGUCUAGAGAAGCAUCAUCUACGCUGGACCAUGUACAAGUCUCUUGGAACAGAGCGUCAUAGAGGGUGAGAAUCCCGUCCUUGACAUGGACUCCCAGUGUUCUGUGUUGUGCUCUCAACGAGUCGAGUUGUUUGGGAAUGCAGCUCAAAAUGGGUGGUAAAUUCCAUCUAAAGCUAAAUAUUGGCGAGAGACCGAUAGCGAACAAGUACCGUGAGGGAAAGAUGAAAAGCACUUUGGAGAGAGAGUUAAACAGUACGUGAAAUUGUUGAAAUGGAAACGCUUGAAGUCAGUCGCGUUCUCUGGGAUUCAGCCUUGCUUUUGCUUGGUGCAUUUCCUAGUCUACGGGCCAGCAUGGAUUUUGACCGUUGGAAAAGGGCUGGGGGAAUGUGGCACCUUCGGGUGUGUUAUAGCCCCCUGUCGCAUGCAUCGGUUGGGAUCGAGGACCUCAGUGCACGCUUCGGUUGUGCUUUGAUGCUGGCGUAAUGGCUUUAAACGA